CUUCUCCACAUCGACGGUGGACUUCUUUAAUUCUCUCGGCAGACCUGCAAAUCCCGCUGCAGCUCCAGUCGAAUGAAGCCACGCAAAUGUUGCCUGCUUGUGCCUUCCAUUCACAAUCUGCAUUUGAACAACUUCUAUUAAAGGCAACUUGUAUCUAUUACUGGACGAGAAACAUGGCAGAAGAAAAUGUUCAGAAAAUUGUUAAUUUACCAGGGGGAGUUCCACAACAAAGUCUCCUAUCGUCGAUGUGCUCAACGUCAAGUCCAAUGAACCAAGAUCCCAAGGAAACAUCUUCAUUGGCAUACUUGUGCAGAACAUGCCUGAGAAUCCAGCAAUUAUUAAGAUCGUGUACAAUUUGGCAAUGCAAAUGAAAUUUGAAGUUUUGGAUUUAAAGAACAGAUAGAUUAAUCUUACUGGUUUAUUGAUAUGUAGGUUGCUAAAUCCUUCGAAAUGGCGUACAACUGGCCUGUUGCAUGGCGGAAGUACUUGUUACCGAACUCACCAAACUUCCAGUGUUCAGGUUCAUGGUAUCGAACUCCCCUGCAAUGAUAGUUUGGUUAAGAAAUCAAAGGUUUCCCAUUUUUCAAUAUUCACCAAGUGAUGAUGGUAAAGCAGCCUUACUUUUGUGACAGGACAGGACCAGAUUUCAUGCAUCCAAUGUAAACCCGUGGUUUUGAUCGAUGUCUAACUAGCGUUUCUCCUAAUGUGGCUGCAACCAAAUGGAAGGACACGAGUUUAAUGUAAGACUCGAGCUUAUCAAGUAUGUAUAGAUAUCUGUCUCAAGUAUAGAAAUCAGACACCAAUUCCGAACAAAAUGGAAGUAACUGGCAUAGAUUCGUGAUUCACUAUCUUAAUAACGAUUCAAUUAUUGAUUCUGCUUACCUAUAUUUACAUGAACAUCGUCGUCAACUUUGAUGUAGAAAUCUGCAUCCCACAAUGCAACUGCUGUAGCAAAAUAAAUCUUCGUCUUGGCAGACAAUUCAAGGUACCCUUCAACAUGGUCCUGUUAGAUAACAAGAAACGGUUGAAGAUCGUCUUGAAUACUUUUGAGAAGUUGAAGCAUCUUAAGAAUCCAUCACCAGCAAUAGAUCAGAAAAUUAUGUAUUCGGAAAACAAAUCACUACCAGUCUAAGGAAAUCUCCAUGCUUUCUGUCCUCUGCUUCAAUAGCUCUGUCAAGGAUACCUCCAGAUGUGGCACUGAUCAUCAAGAAAAAGCUCAUUUAAAAUCUUGUUGCUAGAAGGCCAAAUGAUUCUACGAGAUAUUAUCGCAAGGAAGUCCGCAGAUCAUGUUGUUAACAGUUAUUAUCAAAUGACAAAAGAACAUGUACCUAUGGCCGAUGACAAAUCGAAUUAUAAUCCCCUUCUCCUCCUCUA